UUCUACUCUUUAUUAAAUUAUUUUGUGUUAUAAAACAUUUAGCAAAAAUUUUAAUGCAUAUUUCCUAUAUAUUUAUAGACCUACCUUUAUGCAAGCUGAUUGACAAUUAUCUUUGCUGUUCAAUAUGCAGUUUUAAAGACCGGUACAAAAGCAGAUUCAUUCGCCAUGUGCGCAUCCACACUGGAGAAAAGCCAUUUGUUUGCCAUAUUUGCCAACGAGCAUUUAAUCGAGAAGAAACACUGAGGUAUCAUGUAAUGACUAUACACGUGAAGGAAGGGCCUUUUGCAUGAUAUAUGCCACUACAAAGUGAUCGAAGUGUUGCUAACUUUUCAUAUGUUGCUUUUGGAUACAAAUCAUCCUGGAUUCCUGGAAUAUUUUGUUGUUCAAUGUGUUCUUAUAAAACUCCAAACAAAUGGAAAUUUAAACGACACCUGCAGCAUCAUAGAAAUAGAUAAUGUUAUCACUAUUUUGUCAAAAAUAUUUAAGCAUUAUUUAAAAAUAUUUCCAUGCUUAUCUCUUUAUGUAAAAUCAUUGAAUAAAUUGUGUUUAUUAAUGGCACAAGAUGUAAAGUUGCCUCCUCAGCAUAACAUUUUAUAACUGAAAUAAGCAAUAAAAUGUCAUAUUAUGUAUUAUUUUUCAGCUUACUUAUAUCAUUUACAAUGUGUUAAUAACAUAAAACUUAUAUUUAUUGAUUUAUGCUUUUUAUAAGAAUUUAAUUUUUUGAACAGUUUCUUCUGCAUGAUUGCUUUAGGUAGUUUAAACUUACUCUAACUCAAUGGUUCUCUAGCCUUAAAUAUAAAAAUGUACUUUCUUGGAAUAAACAUACCUUUUUCUGACCGAUUGAGAUUUUUGAUCCCCCAAAUUAAGGGGUUGGGCUGCCCACAAUCUGGAAAGUAUAGUCCCAGUAAUUUGGUCAGAAAAGUAGUUGCAAUUUUGAACCCCUUCACACGUUGCCACGAAUGACAGCUAUAGCUGGCUGAUCUUUGGCAGUAUGAAGGCAAACAAUAUCUACAGCCGUCCUGCCCAUUUUAAUUAUUAAAAAAGGAACAUCAUUAGUACAAAGUGUUUUAAUGCUUUUAUCUGUUAUUUAUUCGGUAAUGCAUUGAGAAAAAAACCAGUUUUUUUGUAAUUUUUCGUGUUUUAACAAUUCAGAAUAUUUUUGACAUUAAGGGCUGUAACAGUCAUGCAUACCAAACAUUUCGUAUAGUUUUAUUUCACUCAAUUGAAUAGUGUGUUUUUGUGAGGAUGAAAUAUUUAUUCUGUAAAUAUUUUUUCCUGAGUUAAGUAAACACAGGUGAAUUACUCCCUUCAAAAUUUUAUAAAUGAAAAGAUAAUUUUAGCAUACAGAAUAUUUCUAUAGGUAUCAGUGUAUGUAAAUUAAUAAUAAUAUGAUAUAAAAAAUGCUAAAAAUUCAUAAAUAUUUAGGUUUGUGUUUAAUCGCUCUUCAGUGUAUAACAUUUAUGUAUUCUAAAUAUUUCAUCUAGGCAACCAAAACAAAUAAAUUCAGUACAAUUCAUAUCCCCAAGCUCUACCCGACAACAUGUCUUGGAAAAAAUCCCUCAACUCAUUGAUUUUCAGCGUAAAACUUAUUUUUUAGGUUGCAGACAAUGUUCAGCUAACAAAAUUAGAAAAGAGACGUUAUAUAGAUGUAAAACUUGUCUGCAAAAACCACCAUUGUGUCUAGAAUGCUUUGAAUCCUUUCAUUUACAGUAGAGCUGAUUCCUUGAAAAUGCUUUUUUCUUGUAUGCUUAUAAUUUGUUUUUUCAGAUGAAUUUUUUUUAAUUUUAAUUAUCUUGUGAGCAAAUUAAUUUGCAAAUGAUAACUUUGUUUGAAUCUGAUUUGCUUGUUAUUAAGCUUAAGCAUUUUUACUCUCUUUCAUUCGUAGGAACCAUUUUUGAAUUAGUAAUGACGUUCUGUUUAUUUAUUUUGAAAACUAAUAAUGGAUGCUUUAUAUCUUUGCAGAUUUUCCGUUGGGACACAAGUUUUAUCACUGUUCCUUAUGUUCAUAUAAAACUCCUGAUAAAAGCAAAUUUAGUCGACAUUUUCGUGUUCACAGUGGAGAAAGGCCUUUUAUUUGUGGUGUAUGCCGAAAACCUUUCAGUCAAAAAUCUAACAUGAAAAUUCAUAUGUUUACAAUGCAUAAAAUAUGCCUUUAACUUUGAAAAAACUAUUUUUUAAUACAAUUUAAUCUAGGGAGCCAGACUGUUAGGAUUUCAGAAAUUUCCUGAUUUUAGAUAUCUUACAUAAACAAAUAGAUAAAUUGAAAAUAAGAGCCCAAAUUUUUAACAAAAACAUGUAUAUUUACAUAUAUUUGAUCAAUUCCACUGUAAAGCCACAUAUUUUUUUUUUAUCCUAGUGGUAGUUCUACGAACUCUUGAAGAUUAAUAUUCUUAAGAUUUUGAAGUUUAUAUAUUAUGUUUCAAUAUUAUGACUUGCAAAUUUUAUUUUUAACUUUUAAGUAAUUUUAUUACGAUUGCUCGAACUGUAUGAUUGAACUGUUAAUUCACAGGCUAAAGUAAAACUAAGCUCAGUGAUGCGACAGCCCAUAUAGGGCCAAGGCCUAGUGUGCUCAUCUCAGUUUUCUCAGCUCUCAGGGGUGCAGGAGCAGAUGCUCCAGUUAGGUGGUUAGCCGAACGCGAAACAACCAGUGUUUAGUUCCCAAGCAUGCUUGGUACUCAUUUAUCGACACACUGAAGGGAUGAAAGGCUGAGUCAACCAUGCCCGGCUCGAGCAUCGAACUGCAACCCAGGCCCUGUGGCAGGUGGCCGUGAAGUGCUACCACUAAUUCACAGUCUAGUUUAUCACUUUUUGACAGUUUUUUGGACCAAAUGAUUUUUACAGGGUUGCCAUUAGCGAUUUAAAAUGCGAAAAGUGGUAACUAAUUAAAAUCAAACUUUUUUAAAUGAUAUUAAAAUUAGCAACUUUUUCAAGCAUAUUUUUUCAGUUUACUAUUAGAAGUGAAUGCAAAGAAUGGUUUUGGUUUAAAUAUGAAUAACUUUGAAUGUUAGUCAUAGUGGUAGUUAUGAUUGAAUAAUAGAAAAGAUAAUAAACAAAAAUGAAUAAUUUCUUCUACUUUUUAGUCACUGUUGGUAUCUCUGUUUUAAAAAUGCCUUUAUUUUCAACUGGAUGUUCCCAACAAGCAAAGUAAGAAUGCUGCUUUUAAAUGAUCGUUUUCUGGCUUGAUGGGUUUCGUUGUUAACUCGAAUGUUUGUUUUUUUACUUGUAAUUAUUUUUUAGUCAUUGUAACAGGUGUGAAUUUGGAAAAUCACAUUAUAGUAAUUAUAAAUUAAUGUAGCAUUACCUUUAAAGCAAUUCAAUCGUAAAUUCAUGUAAUUUUGUCUUCCAUUUUUUUACAGUAAUUUUGCAGAUUUUAAUACAGUAACUAACUGUUAUAGAUUAAAAAAAUUAUAGCAGUACUGUGUUGAAAAAUACAUAAAUCAAUUCAAGCAUGGCUACAUAUAAUACUGGAUCUUAAAAGUCAAACAAAUGUAUUUAUAAUUAAUAUGACAAGCAUUUGUACGUUUUAUGACACACUAAAAGAUAUAGAAAAUCUGUAAUUGACCCGACAGUAUUACUGCCUUAAAGAUAUUGAACAAAUUUGUACAACAAUAAUGAUAUGAAUAUACAAUGUAAAAUUUUCCAUUUUGCAAAAUUCAUUUUGGAUGCUGUAUAUAUCAUGGAGAUAAUAAAAUACUCUUAUUUUUGUACAAAAGCAA